rnacentral:rRNA from 1 species
UACGGGGGGGGCAAGCGUUGUUCGGAAUUACUGGGCGUAAAGGGCUCGUAGGCGGCCAACUAAGUCCGACGUGAAAUCCCAAGGCUUAACCUUGGAACUGCGUCGGAUACUGGAUGGCUUGAAUUCGGGAGAGGGAUGCAGAAUUCCAGGUGUAGCGGUGAAAUGCGUAGAUAUCUGGAGGAAUACCGAUGGCGAAGGCAGGUCUCUGGGCAUUAACUGACGCUGAGGAGCGAAAGCAUGGGGAGCGAACAGG